GUGGGGAAUCUUCCGCAAUGGGCGAAAGCCUGACGGAGCAACGCCGCGUGAGUGAAGAAGGUCUUCGGAUCGUAAAGCUCUGUUGUCGGGGACGAAUGUACCUUUUGUGAAUAAUGAGAGGUAAUGACGGUACCUGACGAGGAAGCCACGGCUAACUACGUGCCAGCAGCCGCGGUAAUACGUAGGUGGCGAGCGUUGUCCGGAAUUAUUGGGCGUAAAGGGAGCGCAGGCGGGAAGGCAAGUCAGUCUUAAAAGUGCGGGGCUCAACCCCGUGAUGGGAUUGAAACUGUCUUUCUUGAGUGCAGGAGAGGAAAGCGGAAUUCCUAGUGUAGCGGUGAAAUGCGUAGAUAUUAGGAGGAACACCAGUGGCGAAGGCGGCUUUCUGGACUGUAACUGACGCUGAGGCUCGAAAGCGUGGGGAGCGAACAGG
rnacentral:rRNA from 1 species